rnacentral:rRNA from 1 species
UGGGGAAUAUUGGACAAUGGGCGCAAGCCUGAUCCAGCAAUGCCGCGUGUGUGAAGAAGGCCUUCGGGUUGUAAAGCACUUUUAUCAGGAGCGAAACGCUGUCGGCUAAUACCCGGCGGAACUGACGGUACCUGAGGAAUAAGCACCGGCUAACUUCGUGCCAGCAGCCGCGGUAAUACGAAGGUGCAAGCGUUAAUCGGAAUUACUGGGCGUAAAGCGUGCGUAGGCGGUUUCUUAAGUCUGCUGUGAAAUCCCCGGGCUCAACCUGGGAAUGGCAGUGGAUACUGGGAGGCUAGAGUGUGUCAGAGGGUGGUGGUUUCCCGGUGUGAGCGGUGAAAUGCGUAGAGAUCGGGAGGAACAUCAGUGGCGAAGGCGGCCACCUGGGACAACACUGACGCUGAGGCACGAAAGCGUGGGGAGCAAACAGGAUUAGAUACCCUGGUAGUCCACGCCCUAAAGCGAUGCGAACUGGAUGUUGGUCUCAACUCGGAGAUCAGUGUCGAAGCUAACGCGUUAAGUUCGCCGCCUGGGGAGUACGGUCGCAAGACUGAAACUCAAAGGAAUUGAC